rnacentral:rRNA from 1 species
UGGGGAAUAUUGGACAAUGGACCGAGAGUCUGAUCCAGCAAUUCUGUGUGCACGAUGAAGUUUUUCGGAAUGUAAAGUGCUUUCAGUUGGGAAGAAAGAAAUGACGGUACCAACAGAAGAAGUGACGGCUAAAUACGUGCCAGCAGCCGCGGUAAUACGUAUGUCACGAGCGUUAUCCGGAUUUAUUGGGCGUAAAGCGCGUCUAGGUGGUUAUAUAAGUCUGAUGUGAAAAUGCAGGGCUCAACUCUGUAUUGCGUUGGAAACUGUAUAACUAGAGUACUGGAGAGGUAAGCGGAACUACAAGUGUAGAGGUGAAAUUCGUAGAUAUUUGUAGGAAUGCCGAUGGGGAAGCCAGCUUACUGGACAGAUACUGACGCUGAAGCGCGAAAGCGUGGGUAGCAAACAGGAUUAGAUACCCUGGUAGUCCACGCUGUAAACGAUGAUUACUAGGUGUUGGGGGUCGAACCUCAGCGCCCAAGCAAACGCGAUAAGUAAUCCGCCUGGGGAGUACGUACGCAAGUAU